GUGCCAGCAGCCGCGGUAAUACGUAGGGAGCGAGCGUUGUCCGGAUUUACUGGGUGUAAAGGGUGCGUAGGCGGCUGAUCAAGUCAGAUGUGAAAUGCACAGGCUUAACCUGUGAGCUGCAUUUGAAACUGGUCAGCUUGAGUGAAGUAGAGGUAGGCGGAAUUCCCGGUGUAGCGGUGAAAUGCGUAGAGAUCGGGAGGAACACCAGUGGCGAAGGCGGCCUACUGGGCUUUAACUGACGCUGAGGCACGAAAGCGUGGGUAGCAAACAGGAUUAGAUACCCUGGUAGUCCACGCCGUAAACGAUGAUUACUAGGUGUGGGGGGUCUGACCCCCUCCGUGCCGCAGUUAACACAAUAAGUAAUCCACCUGGGGAGUACGGCCGCAAGGUUGAAACUCAAAGAAAUUGACGG
rnacentral:rRNA from 1 species